rnacentral:rRNA from 1 species
CCCUUAGAUGUCCUGGGCCGCACGCGCGCUACACUGACAUGUUCAACAAGCCUCCUAGUUCGACAGGAUUUGGGAAAUCUUUGAACGCAUGUCGUGAUAGGGAUAGGUCAUUGCAAUUAUUGAUCUUGAAUGAGGAAUUCCUAGUAAACGCGAGUCAUCAGCUCGCAUUGAUUACGUCCCUGCCCUUUGUACACACCGCCCGUCGCACCUACCGAUUGAAUGUUUCGGUGAAGAUUCCGGAUAGGACUUUUUUGAUUUAUUUCAAUUUUGUCUUAAAAGCUAUCUAAACUUCAACAUUUAGAGGAAGGUGAAGUCGUAACA